rnacentral:rRNA from 1 species
UACGUAGGGGGCUAGCGUUGCUCGGAAUCACUGGGCGUAAAGCGCACGUAGGCGGCUUUGUAAGUUAGAGGUGAAAGCCCAGGGCUCAACCCUGGAAUUGCCUUUAAGACUGCAUCGCUUGAAUCAUGGAGAGGUGAGUGGAAUUCCGAGUGUAGAGGUGAAAUUCGUAGAUAUUCGGAAGAACACCAGUGGCGAAGGCGACUCACUGGACAUGUAUUGACGCUGAGGUGCGAAAGCGUGGGGAGCAAACAGG